AUCAGUGGCCAUAGCAAAGGGGAUCACCUGAUACCAUUCCGAACUCAGUAGUUAAGCCCUUUAGCGCCGAAGAUAUCAGAGAUGGGAAAAUAGGGAGCUGCUUUUU
rnacentral:rRNA from 1 species